rnacentral:rRNA from 1 species
GGAAUUUUGGACAAUGGGCGAAAGCCUGAUCCAGCAAUGCCGCGUGCAGGAUGAAGGCCUUCGGGUUGUAAACUGCUUUUGUACGGAACGAAAAAGUCUGCCCUAAUACGGUGGGCCCAUGACGGUACCGUAAGAAUAAGCACCGGCUAACUACGUGCCAGCAGCCGCGGUAAUACGUAGGGUGCGAGCGUUAAUCGGAAUUACUGGGCGUAAAGCGUGCGCAGGCGGUUAUAUAAGUCAGAUGUGAAAUCCCCGGGCUCAACCUGGGACCUGCAUUUGAGACUGUAUAGCUAGAGUACGGUAGAGGGGGAUGGAAUUCCGCGUGUAGCAGUGAAAUGCGUAGAUAUGCGGAGGAACACCGAUGGCGAAGGCAAUCCCCUGGACCUGUACUGACGCUCAUGCACGAAAGCGUGGGGAGCAAACAGGAUUAGAUACCCUUG